AAAAUCCUCCAGGACCCGGAGUGGGAGGAGAUAGCAAGACUGCUUUUCCUUUCAGAGAUGCUAUCUCUUCCUUUAUUGAUCCUUUUCUAGCUGAGCUUGCCUGGCUUGCUCAUCGCUAAUGCCCCACAGACUUCAGUAUCCCCUUUCCAUAUGCCAGGGCCUUUCUAAUGUCUCUUUCUCAGACACCACCACUCAUCUGGAUGCGUCUUAAUUUCUUGUGGCAAGUUUCAGAGUUUACAAACAGGUUUCCUCACGCACACAAGCAUUGUAGGAGGUAUAAAUAAAGAUCUGACAAACCACAGUUUAUUAAGAGGCUACAGGAAGCCAGUCAGUGUAUAAUAAUACCUGUUUACAACAUGAAACAAAGGUAAUUAUGGUUUUAUUAAGAAACAUCUGUAAGCUCUUUCUUUAACCGGUUUAGCAAUAAGAGUUUUAUAAAGUGUUUCAGCUACGGAUUUAUUGUAGGUGUGUUAAUUUUAAUAAAUGUUCUUUAUAGACCCUAUGGCAGUAUUGAGGAUGCAAAACAGUUUUGAUGACAGCAGGGUCUGGCUUGUGGUGAAUUGUUUUAGAGUCUUCAACGUUAAACAAUUUCCGUGGUACUAUUUAAGACUUCCUAGCUAAUGAGUUAUUUAGUGUUUCUCGGAGUACAACAGCCAGGGACUUGAGCCUCUGGUUCCUUUGUGGUCCAGACUUCAGCUCCCAUCCACUAGAUAGACUGUGUCAUACUUUGUUUUCUAUUGCAGUGGUCAGCUUCGAAAGAUGGGUUUGUUUGCAUUGAAACAUUCAAAUGUAUCCACUCUGAAGAGCAGUUUUGAUAUCAGGUCCUACACAGGACCAAACACAAAGCUGCUUCUCCAUCUCAGAUUCAUAAGCUCUAUACCUCUGCCUGGAAAUCUGUUAGUCACCAUCUGUCCUUUCCUUUGCAUUUUUAUGUAAUUCUGCAGUUGGUGUGUGUUAUAAUAAUUUGCUCCUUUUUGGUGAAUGGAACCUAAAAUUACGGCUGUAAAUAAAAUGUGCUCUGUAAUUUUGUUUGUUGCUUGAUUGGUUUCUGUGGAAUUACAUCUGCUUUUUACUUAUGGAAUUUUUGUGUAGAUUAUAUUCUUAAAAGUAGGAUAAACUAUGAAGUUUUUGAGUUAUUUGAAUUUGUAAUAACAUUUCAACAUAGAUCUAAUUUGCAAAAGCUACUUUAAACCUGCAGUACAUAUAUCAGCUAUAGUGAGAUGUACGAUUUUUCUCUGAUACUAUAACAUAUAAUAUUGUCAAAAUAUGCUUAAUAAUUUAUUUCCAUAAGACUGAAGAGUUUUAUUUACAAAACAUAAGACCACAUAAUUUAUAUAUAAAUCAGUGUUACUAAGGUAUAUCAGUAAUUAAAGUACAACCUAGGCUCUUCGAUUUGGUUUCUGGUUAUGCUUUGUUUGAAGGGAUGUCUUUUCAGUACUUUCAUUAAACUUUUGAAAUGUUUGUAUACUUUGUAUGUGUGCCAUUUUGAAGUUUAUGCAAGUUCUAAGCAAUAACCUGCAUGUUGGACCUGGUCAGCAUCCUUUGUCAUGACAGUUUCCUUUAAGUAUUAAGAAUGACACAGAUCAAUAUUGUAUAACUCUCCCCUCUCCCAGUGAACACCUUGGGAGUUUCCUCUGUUAAAACACUACUAUAAUGUGGUGCAAAACUUUGUAUUUUGUGAAAGAAAAAUAAAGUCACGCUUAUUUAGUG
rnacentral:lncRNA from 1 species